GUGGGGAAUAUUGGACAAUGGGGGGAACCCUGAUCCAGCCAUGCCGCGUGUGUGAAGAAGGCCUUUUGGUUGUAAAGCACUUUAAGUGGGGAGGAGGCUUACCUGGUUAAUACCUGGGCUAAGUGGACGUUACCCACAGAAUAAGCACCGGCUAACUCUGUGCCAGCAGCCGCGGUAAUACAGAGGGUGCGAGCGUUAAUCGGAUUUACUGGGCGUAAAGCGAGCGUAGGUGUUUAAUUAAGUCAAAUGUGAAAUCCCCGAGCUUAACUUGGGAAUAGCAUUCGAUACUGGUUAGAUAGAGUAUGGGAGAUGAUGGUAGAAUUCCAGGUGUAGCGGUGAAAUGCGUAGAGAUCUGGAGGAAUACCGAUGGCGAAGGCAGCCAUCUGGCCUAAUACUGACACUGAGGUGCGAAAGCAUGGGGAGCAAACAGGAUUAGAUACCCCGGUAGUCC
rnacentral:rRNA from 1 species